UGCCACAGUGAUUUGCAAGCAACUCACUGUACUUAGGCACUGGACUACCUAAAUUUCUAAUUCAGUGACGGAAGGCUGCUGGGUGUAGUCAAGUACUUGACUUGUCGGUGCAUGUGUCAAGAUGGGAUUGACCACUCCAGUUCAGGAGCUGUGUACAGUUGUGUUUCAAUUUAGCAAAACUUUGGCCAAGGUAGUCUUAGUGAGGAGUCACAGGACUGUUUGAGUUGAGCACGAUUCGGAUGAUCU
rnacentral:lncRNA from 1 species